AUUGAACGCUGGCGGCAGGCUUAACACAUGCAAGUCGAGCGAGCGGCGGACGGGUGAGCAAUGUCUGGGAAACUGCCUGAUGGAGGGGGCUAACUAUUGGAAACGGUAGCUAAUACCGCAUACCAUCAGAUGUGCUCAGAUGGGAUUAGCUAGUAGGUGGGGUAAUGGGUUACCUGGGCGACGAUCCCCAGCUGGUCUGAGAGGAUGACCAGCCACACGGGAACUGAGACACGGUCCAGACUCCGACGGGAGGCAGCAGUGGGGAAUAUUGCACAAUGGGGGCAAGCCUGAUGCAGCCAUGCCGCGUGUGUGAAGAAGGCCUUCGGGUUGUAAAGCACUUUCAGCGAGGAGGCGUUACUCGAAGAGGAAGCAGCGGCUAACUCCGUGCCAGCAGCCGCGGUAAUUC
rnacentral:rRNA from 1 species